CGCAUCAUGAUCAAGUAUAUAGAGAUAUUCACUUAGUUUGCAUUUAGGCUGUGCACAUUGGGUGGGAAGCCAAGUCACGUCAGGUUGCGGGUUGGGUCCUCUUGAGCUUGGCUUGUACUCAGGUUGACCCUCAACAAUGCAACCUGCCAAUGUUUUCUUCACCGCUGGCACCCAUGUAUGAUGUGGGUUGCUGCACUAUAAAGAUCUUUCACCUAUAGG